GAACAAUCCCAGGUCCCUCAGCCACUCCUCAUAGGGCUUGUGCUCUAGACCCCCCACCAGCUCUGUUGCGCUGCUUUGGAUGAGCUUCAGCACCUCAAUGUCUUUCUUGUAUAUAAUGUCCAUCUCACCUAUGACAUUUCUAGCUCAUAAAAGUGCUGCAGAUCACAUGCUUGGGCUUUUCAACUUAUGGUGAAAGUUUUGUUUGGUGGUUGGUUUUUUUUGAAAGAGCAUUUUGACAGUUCCUAGGCUUGGGAAUGUCACUUUAUACCAUUUAAAGUCUGUGUCUUUUUAGAAACAGGUUGAAUUAAUUUGUGUUGCUUUUUCAGAAAAAUUACAAAUGUAUAACGCGUUUUGUGUGAAACACAGAGAAAAUGGGAUGACCAUGAACCCCUUUAGCAAUAUCCAGCCUGGAAACUUGUGCUUCAAUGUGAAGAUUUAUAAUUUCCUUUGGUAUGAAUGUUUCAUAAAGAAAAGUGUGCUCUUAGUCUUCAUAAACUUAUUAAGAAAAGUAUGUCUGGAAUCAAGGUAAAUUAAGAUAAAUUACACUGCUUGGAGUCUGUUCACUCCUUUGCAGGAAAAUAUAUAGGUGUCAGCUGUCAAGUAGUGUGUUUCAUUUAUAUUAAACACAACUUGGCCUGUUGGGUGGUAAGUGGGAGACCUAGAGAGGACAGGGUGAGAUUUAUUAGUCCUUUCAGACUGAUAGUGGUUGCUGUGGUCCCUUCAACAUUCUUGAAUUUUCCAAAGACUCCAUGUUUUAGUGGAACCAGUGGAAGAUAAGCACAGUCAUGGAUUUUCUACAGCUCUGGAAGGUCACACCAUUGGUCUCAAACCAGGCACUUAUUAGUAUUUCUGAAUUCUAGUAUUAAUGUUGUAUUAAGGUCAAAAAAUUGUUCUAUAACUGGUCUUUGAAAUGCAACAAUAAAACAUUUGCUAAGUGACUUGCUGCUGUCAAUAUUCCCCACUUGAGACUUGUGAUUUUUUUUCUUUGUUUGCUUUGUUUUUGUAGUGCUGUCUUCCAGUUCUAGGCUUUUAAGAAUUAUCUGCUGUCCAAAUCCUUAUGGAAUUCUUUUGCAGUUUAGUUAACAUCAUAGAGUAUAGACUGUAUAAGGACAGUCAGUAACUUAUUCUUGGGAAAUGGAGAAAAUCAUGUUGUAUUUUCUUUGACAAGUCUAAGAACUUCAGCAGUUGUAAACACUUUUCUGUUGUUGUUUCACCUCCCACCAGCUGAUCAAAUCAUGCUCUUCUGAAACCUUUGCCAAAACUUGACUUAGGCUGUUUUGUACAGUGUUGGUGGUUGAUAUGUUGAAUGAAGCUGGGAAUUUUAGGACUUGGUACUCUGUUAAAAAUAGUAUUUUGAAAUGGUUCGUUGCACUGUAGGAAGGCUUAUCCUAAAACUAGAGUAAUGGGUUAGUACUAACAUCCAUCUUGUUCAGCACUUUGAUCCUGACCGUUACGAACAGCAAAGUCUACAGAGGAACUCAUUUUCGGACAGACACCAUAAUCUCCAUUCUGUCUUGGCAAGAAGCUAUUCUUGGUCUUGUAAAGAUGAUUUGUUGAAAUUCUGAAGUGUAAAGCUUAUUAUAAUUUUGAAUCCUCUAGAUGUGUUAUGAAAGUAUCUGUUCCACCUUUACGUAUUUAUGGGUUCUUGGUUCAGUAACUUUCUAUAGCAGUGAGUUCCACUGACACUGUAUGAAUAUUUUUGUUUUAAAAGAAAAUGAAAGAUUUUAAAAUAUCCUUUUUUUUUCUUGACAGAAAGGACAGGUAUUCUGGAUCAGCCCUUUCAACCUCAUUAUUUAAUUUCUCUACACUUAACCUAAAUAUCUGGCAAGCUGUACCAUUUGCAGAAAGCAAAGAGGGCUCUGUGUCCAGUUGAUUAUUACGACACACUGUGGGAAAAGCCUGAGUUUAGCUGGCUUAGCCUUAUGUUACGUAGGCAACUCGGGACAACAGGUCAUUUCAGAAAGUCAGUUUACAGACAUCAUUUGACUACUUAUGUUUGUCCGUAUCUACUUCAAAGUGAGUUUAGGUAACAGCUGGCAGUAUGUCUUUGAAUCAGAACAUUGGCGUUCAGUAUUGCCAGUGAAGCAUCUCAGUCUGUAUAUGAAUAGCUCGUGUAUGUGGCUGAAGUGAUGGCAUCUCUUUACAAAUGAUUUGGGUUUAGGGCCAGUUAUUUCCCACAAGAAAAAAAAAAAAGCAUUAUAAUUGUUUUGUUAAGCUAGUGUGCUUUUACUUUGUCCUGUCUUACUUCCUCAUAUAGUUACCUAACCUACUUUUCAUAGGACUGUUCAGUGGAAAGCAGAGCUCACUUAAUUGAUACUUAAAGCUGUUUGACUUCUGCAAGAAAUGUAAUUUUACUUCUCCUGCAUGGCGUUUGGAUUUUUGUGUUGGUUUGGUUGUUUAAAAUGUAAAGCAAAACAACUCCUUUGAUUUCACACACUUAGUGAAAUGUGUGUUGAACUUGUGCUUUAUUCUUUCUUGUCAGGCUGUCCAUUGCUGUUGUACCUGAAGCGGUGACCAUUUGAUAUUUGUGCUCAUGAAUUGUUUGGCUACUUCUGCGUAUCCCUCCCACUGUCAAAGAAUGCAACAAAGUUCUGUCUGCAGAGAAAGCAAAUACUGCAAGUAAUCCAGCGUGUUGACAGGAAGAUCAAACAGUGGUGUGUUUUCUGUCUGUUGACAAACCUUAUAAAAUUGAAAUCAUACAAACAGCAGAUAUGAUCAGUGAAGUUGUGAGGUAAGAGAUCAACUUUAUAAAAUGUGUAACUGCAAACCAGGAAUUAUGAGCACAUGUAAGGCAAAAGCUAUGAAAUACAGAUCCUGUGCAAGAAACUUACUCCCUGUGUUGAGUGUAGUUUUAUACUGGGUACUUUUUGAGGUGUGUUUCUCAGAGAGGCUGCAGCGGAAGAGGCACUUGCGCUGUCAUCACCGCUGUCAAAUUUACAGGUAGGAUGCUUCUGUCCAGAGAACAAGCAAUGAGGUUUUUAGGAUUGUUCUUUUUAAAUUAAACUAGAGAGUUAGGCUGUACAUUGUAAUUUGGGAGGUCUGACUCCAUAUUAUUUAGGUAUUCUACUUUGUAUUAUUUCAUACUUGGAAACUGCUGUACAGUAGAAUCCAAGGUUUGUUCAGAAAGCUAAUCCCAUGGUUUACAUCAAAGGCAGUGGCUAAAAAGGGAUGUUUUAGGGCCAAAGUAGGAAAAAGAAAAAAGAGAUGGAAGACCUACUAGCUACCGCAAGCAUAUUCCUAACUAGGAGUUAUUUUUCUGAAUCUGGGCCUAAAUCAGCUAGUUUUUGUUCUUUGUACAGCAUAUUAUGAAAAUGUAGGAUUAAAAGUAGCCUUUUCAUACUGUUAAAUCAGUGACUACUGGACCACAGUUGAGAGAAAAACGCAAUCAGUAACUUAACGUAGUAAUACAGCCUGCAGUGCUUCUUGCUGCUUAACAAAAAACUAUCACCCGGAACUAUGGGUUCCUGGGCUGGUUGUGGACAGGGCAAGGAAACAAAAAUACUUAUUAAAAUUACUUAGUCGGGGUCCCCUGCAUUCUGUUAGAGCAAGCUGCACCCAAGUUGCUUCAUUUUGCUUUGUUUUAUAUUGACCCAGACACAUGAGAAACGAAGCCAAGUGAAGUACACAAUAAAAAUGUUAACAAAAAACCUACCAGACUUGGAACCAAAGAAACUGUGGUUAAUUUCUUUUCCUCCUCUGGGUAAUAACACUUCAGUGGGUCACUGCCUCUGCUUUGGGACUGAGAGACACCAUGGGCAGGGCAGGGUUGAAUCGAGAGGGCUGAACAGAGACGCCUGCAGUGAGGAAAGUGGUGAUAGUAGCUGAUGUCCUAAUCGGGAUCUGUGGGGAGGUUUUUGUGUUGAGUUGUGGUUUUGGUUUUUUUGAUGUUUUUUUGUGUUUUGUUUUGUUUUUUUCCUAAAUCUGUAAGGCCAGCAUGCCACCUCCUGUUGAAAUAAAUAGAGAUGGACAAGCUGUCCAAAUGGGGAAUUUUUUUUUCUAUGCCCUUUUGAGCUGUUCUAAGAAGGAACAGUUCUUCCCUGUUAGCCCACACUCCAAAUGUUAGAUGUAUAAAUAAAAGUCUGGCUGUGUACUCUCAUCAGUUUUAUUUUGAGAUUCUUUUUCUUCCAUUCAGAUCAUAGGAUUUUUUAGUUAUUUUUCCAUAUUUGUUACCCAUAAAAAGCCUGGAGGAAAUUCAGUAAUUCUGAAACUGGAAAAGUGUCUAUGUAUAUAUUUUGACAAAUUUGUUAUGGCUAUUUGGAAAUACUAAAAUUUCUCAAUUCUUAGGUCUACAAUCUGCUGUGCAACUGGAUAUUUCUUUGAGUUAAAAGUUUCAUUUGACUUUAGGCUGCAGAAAUAAUUGGACCUUUAGGAACUCAGGCUGAAUUUUGCCAAUGUCUGGAGCAUUUUGGUUAAAAUUAGUUGCAGUGAUAAAUUGAACGGUUUCAGGAACAUGCACAAAUGUUUUCUCAGAUUCUUUCCUUUUGACAGACAUGCGCAUACUUGUUUAUCGAUGGUCUUGCCUCAGUUUUAAGGUCUAACUUUUGUUUCUUUCUCAUUGCUUUUUCCAUAAGACAACAAAUAAUGUUAAUCUCAAGCAACUAAGUAUUCAUGUAUGUGUGUACUCAGAUGGCGGCCUUAGCCUGCAGACUUCUGGAGAACUUGCAAGACUAAACAUGAUGCCCUGAAAAAUCAAAUAAUCAGAGCUAGAUAAUUGGAGACUGGACCACACAAUGCAACGCUAACUGCAGCCAGCCCACACUUCAUGGAGUUCCAG